GCAGAUACGUGAACCUUCAAGGUGUUGUAGCUCAGACCGGACUGAAGAAAGUCUAAGAUAUUCCCUGUGGAAGGACACUGGAUCAAGACAUCCCUCGAGGAAGCCCAGGAAGAGAAAACGUCCCACAUUCUAUAGUAUGCGUUAGAAGUUGAAUGCUUCCUAGCCCUGAGCAGUGUGUCUACUACCGCAUUCAACAGCCUUUCCCUUUCCCUUUCAACCUCCAUGCCAUCAGGUUGAGGGAGGAUGG